UUCCGGUUGAUCCUGCCGGACCUGACUGCUAUCGGAUUGAUACUAAGCCAUGCGAGUCUUUGUAGUAAUACAAGGCAGACGGCUCAGUAACACGUAGUCAACCUACCCUAUGGACAAGAAUAAUCUCGGGAAACUGGGCAUAAUUCUUGAUAGAUCAUAAUGCCUGGAAUGGUUUAUGGUUAAAAUGAUUCGUCGCCAUAGGAUGGGACUGCGGCCUAUCAGCUUGUUGGUGAGGUAAUGGCCCACCAAGGCGAUUACAGGUACGGGCUCUGAGAGGAGAAGCCCGGAGAUGGGUACUGAGACACGGACCCAGGCCCUAUGGGGCGCAGCAGGCGAGAAAACUUUGCAAUGUGCGAAAGCACGACAAGGUUAAUCCGAGUGAUUUCUGCUAAAGAAAUCUUUUGCCAGUCAUAAAACCACUGGUGAAUAAGGGGUGGGCAAGUUCUGGUGUCAGCCGCCGCGGUAAAACCAGCACCUCAAGUGGUCAGGAUGAUUAUUGGGCCUAAAGCAUCCGUAGCCGGCUUUGUUAGUUUUCGGUUAAAUCCAUGUGCUCAACGCAUGGGCUGCCGAAAAUACUGCAUAGCUAGGGAGUGGGAGAGGUAGACGGUACUCAGUAGGAAGGGGUAAAAUCCUUUGAUCUAUUGAUGACCACCUGUGGCGAAGGCGGUCUACCAGAACACGUUCGACGGUGAGGGAUGAAAGCUGGGGGAGCAAACCGGAUUAGAUACCCGGGUAGUCCCAGCUGUAAACGAUGCAGACUCGAUGAUGCAUUGGCAUAAUAGCCAGUGCAGUGUCGCAGGGAAGCCGUUAAGUCUGCCGCCUGGGAAGUACGUACGCAAGUAUGAAACUUAAAGGAAUUGGCGGGGGAGCACCACAAGGGGUGAAGCCUGCGGUUCAAUUGGAUUCAACGCCGGG
rnacentral:rRNA from 1 species